GAAAUUUAGGCUAAUAUUAAGCCAGGAGCCUUCAAAACUCAAAAUAUGGGCUAUUUCCAUAAUUU
rnacentral:tRNA from 1 species